rnacentral:tRNA from 1 species
GCAAUGGUGGUUCAGUGGUAGAAUUCUCAUCUUCCAUGGGGAAGACCUGGAUUCAAUUCCUGGCCAAUGCA